GGAUAAAAGCUACCCUGGGGAUAACAGGCUUAUCUCCCCCAAGAGUCCACAUCGACGGGGAGGUUUGGCACCUCGAUGUCGGCUCAUCACAUCCUGGGGCUGUAGUAGGUCCCAAGGGUUGGGCUGUUCGCCCAUUAAAGUGGUACGCGAGCUGGGUUCAGAACGUCGUGAGACAGUUCGGUCCCUAUCCGUCGCAGGCGUAGGAAAUUUGAGAAGACCUGUCCUUAGUACGAGAGGACCGGGAUGGACGUACCUCUGGUGUACCAGUUGUCCUGCCAAGGGCAUGGCUGGGUAGCUAUGUACGGAAUGGAUAAGCGCUGAAAGCAUCUAAGCGCGAAGCCAACUUCAAGAUAAGAUUUCCCACCGCAAGGGUAAGACCCCAGAAAGACUAUCUGGUUGAUAGGUCGAAGGUGUAAGUGCAGUAAUGUAUUUAGCUUAUCGAUACUAAUAGGUCGAGGACUUGACCAAU
rnacentral:rRNA from 1 species